ACCGUAGAAGCGCCACGCCAGUCACUAGAGUCCUUUUCUCAAUGACUUGCCGGAAUCCAAGUAAACGCCACCCGGUGAUCUACUGCUUUUUGUACGACAGCGCGUCAUACGCCGCUAUCGUCCUGCUUAUUUUUUGUUAGAUUUGGGAGUACAUCCUGGACCGCGGACCAUUAGCCACAAAACCUUUUGUUCGGAUAUUUGGCAUUAUUUAUGUUUAUUCUUGUUUUACUCGUAGCCGCCGACGUAGCGCCGACAUAGCGCUUUUUGGUUAGAGAUGGAGCGUUUAUGGGCGUUAUGGCUGGAGCGUUUUUGGAGCGUUUAUGGGCGUUAUAGCUGUUGUGGUAUGGUAGUACACGGCUACGUUUACAGAAAUGAGAAAUCUGUUGGAUGUAUUGAAGAACUUCCGAUUUUUCCCCUCCCAACAUUUGUUAUUUUCAAUUGUUGUGAUUGUGAUGGCAUUUUCUACUAUUUGACUUGCUCCCUGCCGCGAAAUCCGUCUGGAUAGUCAAAAUGGUCGCACACUGCAGCUGCGGAUUCGAUUUUGCUGUGAUUAUAAACUCUUGGCUGACAGGGAUGUAGCGACAUUUAAAUCUCUUUCUACAGGUACUGUGGCAAACCGAAAACUAAAUACAUUUUUGUGUUUCUUUUUGUUGUGUUUGUUCUUUUCUUGUUAAAAGUAACUGCGAACUACAGAAUUUAAGGAACUGUGAGCUACAUUCCCUACUAGUAGCGCAUAUGCUGAGCUGUACUGAAAUAUGUAUUGCUUUGAAUUUUAAUUUAUUUUAUGAUGUCUUUGUUUGGAAUUUAAGAAUGUUAGGUUGACGAAUUUGCUGACGAAUACAAGAAUGACCCAAAAUAUUAAUGGCAUUCUUCAUCGAAUAUUGGCAGGUUGGGUUAGAAUAUGUUUUUGCAAGUCGAUUUAUCUGCUAGCAGCUAAAGAAGCAGUUUGUUUGGGUUCCUGAUGUACUAGUAACAUUCAGGACAUUAUGUAUGUAUGCAAGCAUUUUUCCUGCCAGUUAGGAGUGACACCCCGUUCACAAACUGCGUAUUUUGGAUGAAUUGAUCAUUUCGGAGCGUCGAGAAGAAGAUAAAUGGAUAGUGUUGGAUGCCAUAUUGUCGAUUGACGGACAUCUGUGAUAUUAAUUUGAUCCCGGAAAAGAUAGCGUGCCAUAUCAGUCGUAUUUCCGGUCAGCCACUGUGUUUUCGGUUCUCUAGCACAGCCGCUCUGGAGUCUUUCAUUUCCUUGUUGGAUGGAUACUUCAGAUUUACGCAUAAAUUUUAUUAUGAUGUGUGCCGAGCCCUUUGUAAUCCUAGUUUACAGGUUUUUGUGUAAGGGAGCACAGCAAGUGCGGCGAGGUUGUUUAAAGAUCUCCGACAGGGAGAGCGUGGGCAUUGCAGUGAAUCUAUAUAGAAUCAGCACUAAAAUGGCUGGCAGUGCAGACAUAAAUGCACCUGCCCAACUCGGCCAUGCCGAUCCGCUUCUAUGGAAUUCUGUCGAACCGCUGAGUUUCGUAAGCGUAUGUUUCCCGCUGGACAAUGUCCUGCAGUUUCUGCAGCAGAAAAGUGCCCUGAUAUCGUUACGGAAUAUGUUAGAUAUUACUAAACAGAUUGCUAAAACACUAUGGUGGUUGGAUGAACAGAAAGCAGGGUCCGGGCCUAUUCCGGCGAAGAAUGUUUUCGUUGCGGAUUAUCUAAGCGAAUCCGUGAAAGUUGUCGUUGGACCAAUCGGGUUGGGCAGUGAAUCAGUACACUGGGUUGGCUUGGAUUCGAAGGGCGAUGCAGAUGAUGCGUGGGAGACCUUGUCUCACUCAGAUCGGAGAAAUUUAGGCUACGAGACAUUGUUGUGGGAAUUGCUGACCUUUGGGCUGGUACCGUUAUUGGAAAUAUGUGGCGAAGUAGCCGAAUCGUUGUGCAGGAAUGGAUAUCGGCUGGAAAAGCCCUCAGUCUGCCCAGAAUAUGUGUACUGAAUAAUGGAACGCUGCUGGCACAAUGAUCCCUUGCAGCGACCGGCUGUUGUUGUGAAAUAAAUAAAGUAAGUACUCCAUCUUUUAUAUGACGAAAGCAAGCCGCUUAACUCCGAUGGGACAAUUGAAAUCGAAAUAAAAUAAGCUAGAGUUCCUGCUUCGGGUCACCGGAAAUGUCUGAAACACAGAAUGCAGGCAGCGGAUGUAAAUUUGAGCAAUUACAUUGGAGAAAGAGAAACAAACGGCAGGCCAUAUGAUCCUUGGCUUAUAGAAGAAACCGCGAUGAACGUCUUUGAUUGACUUGGAGAAGGUCGAUAUGGAGAAGGAAGUGAGCAGUUAAAGGCGCUGUAUAGCGUAUACUGAUCCUUUGAGCGAUGAUGAGCCACACGUAGUGGCCGUAAAACAACUGAAGCAGAUUAUAGAUGAACGAACGUUCAGUCGGAUAAUGGAUGAAAUGCGGGAUGAGAAGAACAUGAAGAAAUCGCUGCAGCAUGAAAAUAUCAUGGAAACCGUGGGAAUGGUGCUCGAUCCGGUGCGUUUGCUGGUGAUGGAAUUCGUUCAGAAUAGAGCUCUGAGCUUAUAUCCGUAAUCACCAGGGCGGUUUAUCUCCGACUCAUUUGCUACAAUUUGCAACGGAUGUUGCCAGCGGCAUGGCUUAUCUGCAGCAAAGACAUUGCAUCGGGAUCUUGCCGCGCGGAAUAUCUUGGUUACCGCGGAACAACGAGAGAAAAUUAGCGAUUUCGGGUUGGCUCGCUUUUUGGAUACCGGUGGUUAUUAUUUAACACGUUUUUGGCCGGAACAUCCCAUUGGCAUGGUAUGCCCCGGAAGUGAUAGAUCGUUAUAAAUAUUCGUCCAAAAGUGAUUCGUUGUCAUUUGGAGUUCUUUGCUGGGAAAUGUUCACGUUUUGCCGCACCGCCUUAUUUGUGUGGUUUUAUCGGACAUUUUUUUAUCUGUUAGAGCAGGACUGGUUUUGGUAGCGCUUAUUUGACAGCUGCUGUCUCAGGAAUUUGAUCUCAUUUUCUCAAUGAGUUUUCAGCAUAUUAUUGUUUUCUUUGCUGUGUUGGACAUUUGAAGAUUUUGGAAAAUUGCAGUUUUAAUUGUGAAGCUGGCGGUAUUAUUUAAUGGUUUCGAAAUACUUCGCGCUGCUGACUUCAGUGACUUGAGCCAGCUGAUGGUGAGGUUCAAUGUUUCCUAAUUGCGGGAACAAGAACUGCUGUCCAAAUAUCCAGAUUGCUUGUUAAUAUCAGUGGUCAAUAAUGUCCAUAACUCUGG